rnacentral:rRNA from 1 species
GAUGAACGCUGGCGGCGUGCCUAAUACAUGCAAGUCGAGCGAACGGACGAGAAGCUUGCUUCUCUGAUGUUAGCGGCGGACGGGUGAGUAACACGUGGAUAACCUACCUAUAAGACUGGGAUAACUUCGGGAAACCGGAGCUAAUACCGGAUAAUAUUUUGAACCGCAUGGUUCAAAAGUGAAAGACGGUCUUGCUGUCACUUAUAGAUGGAUCCGCGCUGCAUUAGCUAGUUGGUAAGGUAACGGCUUACCAAGGCAACGAUGCAUAGCCGACCUGAGAGGGUGAUCGGCCACACUGGAACUGAGACACGGUCCAGACUCCUACGGGAGGCAGCAGUAGGGAAUCUUCCGCAAUGGGCGAAAGCCUGACGGAGCAACGCCGCGUGAGUGAUGAAGGUCUUCGGAUCGUAAAACUCUGUUAUUAGGGAAGAACAUAUGUGUAAGUAACUGUGCACAUCUUGACGGUACCUAAUCAGAAAGCCACGGCUAACUACGUGCCAGCAGCCCGCGGAAUACGUAAGUUGGCAGCGUUAUUCCGGAUUAUUGUGGCGUAAGCGCGCGUAGCGGUUUUUUAGUCUGAUGUGAAAGCCCACGGCUCACCCGUGGAGGGUCAUUGGAAACUGGAAAACUUGAGUGCAGAAGAGGAAAGUGGAAUUCCAUGUGUAGCGGUGAAAUGCGCAGAGAUAUGGAGGAACACCAGUGGCGAAGGCGACUUUCUGGUCUGUAACUGACGCUGAUGUGCGAAAGCGUGGGGAUCAAACAGGAUUAGAUACCCUGGUAGUCCACGCCGUAAACGAUGAGUGCUAAGUGUUAGGGGGUUUCCGCCCCUUAGUGCUGCAGCUAACGCAUUAAGCACUCCGCCUGGGGAGUACGACCGCAAGGUUGAAACUCAAAGGAAUUGACGGGGACCCGCACAAGCGGUGGAGCAUGUGGUUUAAUUCGAAGCAACGCGAAGAACCUUACCAAAUCUUGACAUCCUUUGACAACUCUAGAGAUAGAGCCUUCCCCUUCGGGGGACAAAGUGACAGGUGGUGCAUGGUUGUCGUCAGCUCGUGUCGUGAGAUGUUGGGUUAAGUCCCGCAACGAGCGCAACCCUUAAGCUUAGUUGCCAUCAUUAAGUUGGGCACUCUAAGUUGACUGCCGGUGACAAACCGGAGGAAGGUGGGGAUGACGUCAAAUCAUCAUGCCCCUUAUGAUUUGGGCUACACACGUGCUACAAUGGACAAUACAAAGGGCAGCGAAACCGCGAGGUCAAGCAAAUCCCAUAAAGUUGUUCUCAGUUCGGAUUGUAGUCUGCAACUCGACUACAUGAAGCUGGAAUCGCUAGUAAUCGUAGAUCAGCAUGCUACGGUGAAUACGUUCCCGGGUCU